rnacentral:rRNA from 1 species
GACAGAGGGGGCAAGCGUUGCUCGGAAUCACUGGGCGUAAAGGGCGCGUAGGCGGGAUGGCAAGUCAGUCGUGAAAUCUCUCGGCUCAACCGAGAAACGUCGGCUGAUACUGCCGUUCUUGAGGGAUGCAGAGGCCAGUGGAAUUGCCGGUGUAGUGGUGAAAUGCGUAGAGAUCGGCAGGAACACCCAAGGGGAAGCCAGCUGGCUGGGCAUUUGCUGACGCUCAUGUGCGACAGCGUGGGGAGCGAACUGG